rnacentral:rRNA from 1 species
AUACGUAGGUGGCAAGCGUUGUCCGGAUUUACUGGGUGUAAAGGGCGUGUAGCCGGGAAGGCAAGUCAGAUGUGAAAUGCCAGGGCUUAACCCUGGAGCUGCAUUUGAAACUGCUGUUCUUGAGUAUCGGAGAGGCAGGCGGAAUUCCUAGUGUAGCGGUGAAAUGCGUAGAUAUUAGGAGGAACACCAGUGGCGAAGGCGGCCUGCUGGACGACAACUGACGCUGAUGCGCGAAAGCGUGGGGAGC